rnacentral:miRNA from 1 species
ACCUGCGAUCCCUGCCUUUGA